AAUAAUGAGAGUUUGAUCCUGGCUCAGGACGAACGCUGGCGGCGUGUCUAAGGCAUGCAAGUCGAACGCAACCUCGGUUGAGUGGCAAACGGGUGAGUAACGCGUUGGUAACCUACCCUUUGGCCGGGCAUAACAGGAAGAAAUUCCUGCUAAUUCCCGAUAGUCUCACAUCAUUUCUGUGUUUGUGAGUAAAGAUUUAUCAC
rnacentral:rRNA from 1 species